rnacentral:rRNA from 1 species
CCUACGGGUGGCAGCAGUGGGGAAUAUUGGACAAUGGGCGAAAGCCUGAUCCAGCCAUGCCGCGUGUGUGAAGAAGGCCUUCGGGUUGUAAAGCACUUUCAGUGGGGAAGAAAGCCUUGGGGCUAAUACCCUCGAGGAAGGACAUCACCCACAGAAGAAGCACCGGCUAACUCCGUGCCAGCAGCCGCGGUAAUACGGAGGGUGCGAGCGUUAAUCGGAAUUACUGGGCGUAAAGCGCGCGUAGGCGGUCUGAUAAGCCGGUUGUGAAAGCCCCGGGCUCAACCUGGGAACGGCAUCCGGAACUGUCAGGCUAGAGUGCAGGAGAGGAAGGUAGAAUUCCCGGUGUAGCGGUGAAAUGCGUAGAGAUCGGGAGGAAUACCAGUGGCGAAGGCGGCCUUCUGGACUGACACUGACGCUGAGGUGCGAAAGCGUGGGUAGCAAACAGGAUUAGAUACCCGAGCAGUC